ACGGAAGGCAGCAGUGAGGAAUAUUGGUCAAUGGACGGAAGUCUGAACCAGCCAUGCCGCGUGAAGGAAUAAGGCCCUAUGGGUCGUAAACUUCUUUUGUGGUGGAGCAAUAAGGUGCACGUGUGCAUCGAUGAGAGUACAUCACGAAUAAGCAUCGGCUAACUCCGUGCCAGCAGCCGCGGUAAUACGGAGGAUGCGAGCGUUAUCCGGAUUUAUUGGGUUUAAAGGGUGCGUAGGCUGUUCUUCAAGUCAGAGGUGAAAUACCUGGGCUCAACCCUGGAACUGCCUUUGAUACUGGAGGGCUUGAAUACUGUUGCCGUGGGAGGAAUGAGUAGUGUAGCGGUGAAAUGCAUAGAUAUUACUCAGAACACCGAUUGCGAAGGCAUCUCACGAAGCAGCGAUUGACGCUGAGGCACGAAAGCGUGGGGAUCAAACAGGAUUAGAUACCCUGGUA
rnacentral:rRNA from 1 species